CAUAAAAAUAAUCACAAAACAAAAAUUUCUCACAGACUGCACUCUGUACUGAACUUCCAAUUGCCCUCUCUCCCUAGAAGAGAGCAAUACCAGACUCGUGGAUUAUUAGAUAAACACGGUUAUUUUCGGAUAGGAAAUUUGAUUCGAAGAUUGCGCCUCCAAAUUCAGAUCUGAAGAGUGAGAUUAUAGUUGUCGUGAAUAAGCACAUUUAUAGAUAUAUGUUUCAUGCUUUGGAUGGUUUGGAUAAAAUAGAGGUUGAUUUACUGAGGUUUUGGUGGUUAUGGCGGAAAUCUAAAUCUGCUGAUUGUAUAAGUUUCACAGGCUUAGAAUUGUAAAACUCGUUGGUUUGAUAGAUCUCUUGUUUUAGUUUGUUAGCUAGGAUUAGCGCAGAAGAAGGUUGUUUUAGUGUGAAAAUUUGCGAGAAAUGGAAACAUUAGUUGUUGUUGCUCAUCACAGAAAUCAUCAGUACCAUGGCAGAAGCCGUGACUAUGGUUUAAGUUCAACAAGGUUUGGGUCAUGUUCACCACCUACGGGUGGUUUUCGAGGAAUUAAUUGUAGGACAUUUCAUUCUGGAGAAGGAUUGCUCUCACCUCCACCCAAAUCUUGCUCGAGUAAAACAAAAUCCCUUGUUACUAAAAAGGCCUUUUGCCCUUCUUUGUCGCCUAACACUCCAUCCCCAUCUGUUUGUGAAAACCCGAAAAUGCUGAAAGGAAUUGCUAUUCCAAUACUUAUGGAUACCAAGUUUGAGAGCAGGGAUGAGGGGUUUCAAUUUUCUGAGCUCUGGGCUGGACCUGCUUAUUCCAAUUCACCUCCCCCAAGUUGUUUGCCAGUGCCUAAGUUCACACUGAAGCCUAAAAGAACUAUUUCCCUUGACUUGCCGACUGUGGCAUCAGAAAUUGAUUUGCCUCUUUCACAUUCUGCACCUGCCUCCCCUAGGGAGUGCAGUCCUUCUCCGAGUGAUUUGUUUGAUAUUGCUGAUUCUGCGACGAAGACCCUGCGCCGCAUGCUUAAUCUUGAUAUUGAUGAUGAAUGAAGUGUUGGUGGUGGUGGGUGUAAAUAAGGAAAAUAGCUUACUGUGUAGCUCAGUAGUGGUAGAGUUGAAGCAUUGGUGUGUGGUAGUGCUGGAACUGCAUUUCAUUGAUCAGUGAUCUCCAUAUCUCUGGGACUGGUAUUUCUUGUUUGGCUGGGGAUAUUUGGUUUUGUUGCUCGGACAGGGAUCUCACAAAUGGAAGUUGUGAAAUGGAAAACAUGGGUUGAUGAAGGAUUCAAUCAUCGUUACUUAGUUGAGUACUUAUGGUUCGAAGUUCUUAAACUACUGAAUUAUUAUCGAUCAAAUUUUCCGCUUGGGGAAACUAGAUGCUAUCGAAAGUGGCAAUUUCAGCUUUCCAUUCAUUUCUUCUCACCUUUCUAGUUUCCCCCCAUAGUCAGAAUAUUUUAUGCAUAAUGUACAUAUACUGCAUAACCUAACUUGUUUAGUGUCAAUAGUUUACCUUUUUCUUUUCUCUAUGCUUCCUUCCCAAUCAUCUGCUUAGCCCACUUGCACUUUCCUGUUCAGAUACUCUUGUAUUCCCGUACAUUAGCUGUCUGAGUUGGUUCGGCGUCUUUUUUAUCCUUCUUCCAUUUUCUUCUUCUCUGCUUAGAGAUGUUACUGACUUCUGAUCUAGGUUUUCCCUUCGCCAAUUUUCUUGGUUUUAAAAAAAGAAAAGUGGGAAUGGGAAUAGGGCAGUUGAUCUUUUCUCUCGUAGUACUUCAGUCCAAUAGUAGUUGAGUUUGCUCUUGCAAGCUUCGCCUUUCUCUUCGGUAUGAGCUUUUUUUUUUCUUUUAUUGCCUAGGGAUGAUCCUUUCUAAGCAGGUUUUACCUUUACCCCUUUCCUUGCUGGUCUUUAGUUCCAUUGUCAUUGGAGAUUGUUGAUUGUUUGAAGUUGUUCCCAGUCAGAGCUGAUGGAACAUAAAUGCUUCUGGAGGCCAUUCCAGUAUAGCGUAUCGCUGAUCUUUGUAGGCUGUGUUCUUUGUUUUAAUCAGUGUGGUAGUCUGUCUUACUAUGAAGUCUGAACAUCUUAGUGUUAUAUCUGAGUCUUAUGUUUCUUGUAGUUGUGAUCUCUUGCCUUUGUUUUGUUGAGAUGUUGUUUGGAUUGUGUAGUUUUCUUAUUGCCAAGCAAGUUAUCCUUCCAUUCUUGAUUUCAA